UACGGAGGGUGCAAGCGUUAUCCGGAAUCACUGGGUUUAAAGGGUGCGUAGGCGGGUUGGUAAGUCAGUGGUGAAAUCUUCAAGCUUAACUUGGAAACUGCCGUUGAUACUAUCAAUCUUGAAUAUUGUGGAGGUAAGCGGAAUAUGUCAUGUAGCGGUGAAAUGCUUAGAUAUGACAUAGAACACCGAUAGCGAAGGCAGCUUGCUACACAGUAAUUGACGCUGAGGCACGAAAGCGUGGGGAUCAAACAGG
rnacentral:rRNA from 1 species